CUCCUACGGGAGGCAGCAGUAGGGAAUCUUCCGCAAUGGGCGCAAGCCUGACGGAGCAACGCCGCGUGAGUGAGGAAGGCCUUCGGGUUGUAAAACUCAGUCACCUGGGAAGAGAGGUAUGGGGAGUGGAAUGCCCCAUACGAGACGGUACCAGGGGAGGAAGCCCCGGCUAACUACGUGCCAGCAGCCGCGGUAAUACGUAGGGGGCAAGCGUUGUCCGGAAUCACUGGGCGUAAAGCGUGCGUAGGCGGUCUUUCAAGUCCGGGGUGAAAACUCAAGGCUCAACCUUGAGAAUGCCUUGGAAACUGGGGGACUUGAGUACUGGAGAGGCAAGGGGAAUUCCACGUGUAGCGGUGAAAUGCGUAGAGAUGUGGGGGAAUACCAGUGGCGAAGGCGCCUUGCUGGACAGUGACUGACGCUGAGGCACGAAAGCGUGGGGAGCAAACAGGAUUAGAUACCCUGGUAGUCCACGCCGUAAACGAUGAGUGCUAGGUGUUGGGGGUUCAUCCCCUCAGUGCCGAAGGAAACCCAAUAAGCACUCCGCCUGGGGAGUACGGUCGCAAGACUGAAACUCAAAGGAAUUGACGGGGGCCCGCACAAGCAGUGGAGCAUGUGGUUUAAUUCGAAGCAACGCGAAGAACCUUACCAGGGCUUGACAUCCCUCUGACCGGUUCAGAGAUGGGCCUUCCCUUCGGGGCAGAGGAGACAGGUGGUGCAUGGUUGUCGUCAGCUCGUGUCGUGAGAUGUUGGGUUAAGUCCCGCAACGAGCGCAACCCUUGACCUGUGUUACCAGCACGUAAUGGUGGGGACUCACAGGUGACUGCCGGCGUAAGUCGGAGGAAGGUGGGGAUGACGUCAAAUCAUCAUGCCCUUUAUGUCCUGGGCUACACACGUGCUACAAUGGGCGGUACAACGGGAAGCGAGACCGCGAGGUGGAGCGAAACCCAAAAAGCCGUUCGUAGUUCGGAUUGCAGGCUGCAACCCGCCUGCAUGAAGCCGGAAUUGCUAGUAAUCGCGGAUCAGCAUGCCGCGGUGAAUCCGUUCCCGGGCCUUGUACACACCGCCCGU
rnacentral:rRNA from 1 species